rnacentral:rRNA from 1 species
UACGAAGGGUGCAAGCGUUACUCGGAAUUACUGGGCGUAAAGCGUGCGUAGGCGGUUUGUUAAGUCUGCUGUGAAAGCCCCGGGCUCAACCUGGGAACUGCAGUGGAAACUGGCAAGCUAGAGUGUGUCAGAGGAUGGUGGAAUUCCCGGUGUAGCGGUGAAAUGCGUAGAGAUCGGGAGGAACAUCAGUGGCGAAGGCGACUCACUGGACAUGUAUUGACGCUGAGGUGCGAAAGCGUGGGGAGCAAACAGG